CCUCCAUUUUACAGGGUGGGCCAUUUAAAUGGAUACACCUUAAUAAAAUGGGAAUGGUUGGUGAUAUGUUGUGGAAAAAAAAUACCAAGAAAGCUUCUGACGACUCAAUGAAAAGAAGAAUUCAAAAAGCUGUCUCUUGUCACAGUCUCUGGUCCUGCUCCUUGUUCUAUUUUGAGUUCUUCAUUUUCGGUAUUGUCUGGUUUUAUUCUAGGGUUUUAUUUUGUAAGGACUUAGUUUGUCAUCCAUGUCGUCAUGUUUUGGUUCCAGUUUUCAUUUCCUGUUUUAUUUUGGUAGUACUCCCGGUUGCUGUUUCUGUUCUAGCCUUACUUCCGGUUUACGUCAUGUCACAGCUAUUCCCUGCUUCACCCGGUCAUUAUCCACACCUGCACGUCAUCAGUAAUCAGUUCACCUUGCAUUUAAGCACCACCUCUCACCCCAGUACCUUGCCAGAUUGUUUAGUUCGUGUUCGCGUGCGUUCACCGUCAUCCUGCGUUUUUGUUCUUGUCUCGACCCGUGUUUCCGAUCUUGUUUUGCCUACCGUUACCGAGCCUUGCCUGAUCCCUGCCUGCUUCGUCUGCUGAACUUAUCUGGUAAUGACCCUGCCUGUCUUAUGAUUACGAUUCUGCCUGAUCCUGAUCGGUACUGCUAUCUCUGCCAACACGGUAAACGAAUCCGGUCUGUCCACUAGAGAUGUCGAAAUCGAAGCCUCACGAAUCAUUGAACAACUAUGACGCAGUUGGGCUGAAAUCGACACAUUACUCGACACCAUUUGACACAGUCAGAACAGCGACAUGUGCUAGUUGUGUGUGAGAACUGCAUCAGAGCAGACUGACAUCAAACCCUCGCUGAUACGUGGUUGUUCAGGAUCACAGUCCAUGUUUUAUUGUCAAAUAAAAGUUAUUUAAUCAAAGAACAUGACUUUAAUCACAUUCUCACCGCCUCUCCAGCUUUGGAGAAGAGCCGCUGAUGUCUGACUAAUAUAGAUCAUCCAUCAUCUUAUAGAUCAUCUCCGGUCCGCUUGUCUGACAUAUUGAAACAACCAUCCGUUCAAACUGCAGAUAAGCCGCUCGGCAGUCACGUGAAGUAUCGACGCCUCUCGCUCUCAUUGGUCACGUGAUUUGGAACGCGCUCGAGAUUCUGCUUGACGACACUUCCGCUUCAGAAGAUCGAGUCGAGUGGGAGGUCUCGAGUUGGACAUCUCUACUGUCCACGGAACUGAGCCUGCCCGAACCCUUGCAUUGAGCCUGUCUGCUUACCUGUGUAUGACCCUGCCUGAUCCUGACUCUGAGUUUUGGAAUAAAAUCCUUUUGUUAUUCAUAUCCCUGCCUGUCCGUG